AUACGGAGGGUGCGAGCGUUACUCGGAGUCACUGGGCGUAAAGCGUCCGUAGGCGGUCGGGUAAGUCGGGUGUGAAAGCCCCGGGCUCAACCUGGGAAGUGCACCCGAUACUGCUCGACUCGAGUGCGGGAGAGGAUGGCGGAAUUCCCGGUGUAGCGGUGAAAUGCGUAGAGAUCUGGAGGAACACCAGUGGCGAAGGCGGCCAUCUGGCCCGCAACUGGCGCUGAGGGACGAAAGCGUGGGGAGCAAACAGGAUUAGAAACCCUAGUAGUCC
rnacentral:rRNA from 1 species